ACGGCUCCCCGCUGCCCUCGCCUGUGGCUGCCUGGCCCCUGCUAGGACGCUGUGCUGGGCUGCAGCUGGGCAGUCGGAGCAGCAGAUGCUGCCCCUGGGGAUGGAGGAGGGAGAGGAGGGGCCCACGGACCCAAACAGGCUGUUCGGAACAGCACGUACAGGCAGCUGGGGGAAAACGCCUAAGUCAGCUCAGCAUCCGAGCUGCUGUUACGUCGGGGUGUGAAACGGAAUAGAUUCUGCGGUCCUCCCCCCUCUCUUAUUUUCUCUGUGUUUUUGCUAUAAAAAAUUAGACGUGUACUGUACAAAGCGUGAAAAGACUGUAAUAAAUCCUGCUGCCCCUGGAGAUGGAAGAGGGGGAGAGGGGCCCACAGGCUCAAACCGGGUGUUCUGAUCAGCACGUACAGCCAGCUGGGGGCAAAUGUGUAAACCAGCUCAGAGUCUGAGCUGUUGUCAUAUUGGGUCUGAUUCUACGGUCUGAUUCUAUUUUCUCAACGUUUUUCCUAUAUAAAAAAAAAAAAGAGACUUCUACUGUACAAAACAUGAAAAGACUAAUAAAUCCUGCUGAGAAAUAAGCAGGAUUGAUAAUGGCUGAAGCACGUAACUUACACUGAACUCUUCCAAUGCGAAUUCUUCAAUAAGGCUCUCUCAUUUCUUACUCGAUGACGGCUGCUUUGCGGUAGAGAGAGCAACUGUAAAAUGGAAGACGAAGCACCAGUUGGAAUAACUCUUACUGGAUUUUACCUACAGCCUCAAAAGCUUUCUGUACUCCCUGUAGUUGUCUGUUCCUAUGGUGGAUACCAAAGGAGUCACGAGCCUGCUUCCUCUGCGAAGAAGCAAAGCAACCUGGCCAACAGUGGUGUAUUUAUUACCUUAAGGGAGUACCUUGCGUAAACUCAGGUACAGCUGAAUGGUGGCAAGAAAUUCUGGACAGGGCAUGAUUGAAGUCUGUUUACUCUAUUCCUUAUCACUGAGGGUUUUUUCUACUCUGCAGUUCUGCCUGAAUAAGGGCCUCCUGUGUUACUCUGCAAGAGAGCUGGUGGGGAAAAAAAAGAAGUAAAAUGCCCAU